UACGUAGGGACCAAGCGUUGUUCGGAUUUACUGGGCGUAAAGGGCGCGUAGGCGGCAAUUCAAGUCAUCUGUGAAAUCUCCGGGCUUAACCCGGAACGGUCAGAUGAUACUGCUUUGCUAGAGUGCGGAAGGGGCAAUCGGAAUUCUCGGUGUAGCGGUGAAAUGCGUAGAUAUCGGGAGGAACACCUGUGGCGAAAGCGGCUCACUGGACCACAACUGACGCUGAGGCGCGAAAGCUAGGGGAGCAAACAGG
rnacentral:rRNA from 1 species